rnacentral:pre_miRNA from 1 species
AUACUACUCCCUCCGUCCGGAAUUACUUGUCAUCAAAAUGGAUGAAAAUGAAUGUAUCUAGAACUAAAAUACAUCUAGAUACAUCCAUUUCAAUGACAAGUAUUUUCAGACGGAGGGAGUACCAA